AAAUUGAAGAGUUUGAUCAUGGCUCAGAUUGAACGCUGGCGGCAGGCCUAACACAUGCAAGUCGAGCGGUAGCACAGAGAGCUUGCUCUCGGGUGACGAGCGGCGGACGGGUGAGUAAUGUCUGGGAAACUGCCUGAUGGAGGGGGAUAACUACUGGAAACGGUAGCUAAUACCGCAUAACGUCGCAAGACCAAAGUGGGGGACCUUCGGGCCUCAUGCCAUCAGAUGUGCCCAGAUGGGAUUAGCUAGUAGGUGGGGUAACGGCUCACCUAGGCGACGAUCCCUAGCUGGUCUGAGAGGAUGACCAGCCACACUGGAACUGAGACACGGUCCAGACUCCUACGGGAGGCAGCAGUGGGGAAUAUUGCACAAUGGGCGCAAGCCUGAUGCAGCCAUGCCGCGUGUGUGAAGAAGGCCUUCGGGUUGUAAAGCACUUUCAGCGGGGAGGAAGGCGGU
rnacentral:rRNA from 1 species